rnacentral:rRNA from 1 species
UUGGAGGGCAAGUCUGGUGCCAGCAGCCGCGGUAAUUCCAGCUCCAAUAGCGUAUAUUAAAGUUGUUGCAGUUAAAAAGCUCGUAGUUGAAUUUCGGGGUCAGUAGUUUGGUCGUGCCACUGGUAUGUACUGGGCUCACUGAUUCCUCCUUCCUGAUGAACUGUAACGCCAUUAAUUUGGUGUUGCAGGGAAACAGGACUGUUACUUUGAAAAAAUUAGAGUGUUUAAAGCAGGCUAACGCUUGAAUACAUUAGCAUGGAAUAAUGAAAUAGGACGUUCGAUCCUAUUUCGUUGGUUUCUAGGGUUGACGUAAUGAUUAAUAGGGAUAGUUGGGGGCAUUAGUAUUCAAUUGUCAGAGGUGAAAUUCUUGGAUUUAUUGAAGACUAACUACUGCGAAAGCAUUUGCCAAGGAUGUUCUCUA